GACUCCGCCCCCUUUGUCUUUAUUCAGUGUUUCUCAAUCUGAAGGAGGACAGAGAGAAAGAAUCACAGACCAGGACACCGGGAGGAGAGACGGGCCGAACACACCGAACCAUGGCCACAGCAGACACGAGACCGCAGCACAUCCGCGCACCCAGCCUCACAUCACGGAUCACCUGCACCAGAACCGAGCUGACUGACACCACGGCGGAUCCGAGGCCAGAAUGAGGGUGAUUUACGUCCAGAACGCCGGCGUGGUCGCUGCUUUCUCGACUGAGAUCUUCUGCGGUAGAUUGAAACAAAGGAAUAACGGAGAAAUCAUGAUCGAACGCGCCACGGGAAAGAGAACACGUCAUAACGGAGUAGGCUACGUCAUAAUGGUCUAGAACGCGUCAUAAUAGAUUAAUGCACAAUAGAUACAUUGUCGUUCUAAUUGUGAAUGAUACAUUGUAGCAGUUCAUAAGUGCCAUAAAACCACAUGGCACGUGUUCAUUCGUUUCUUUUUAAUAAUAUGCCUAUUUAGUCCGUUCAUAGCCCUGUUUUAUCGUUCAUAAUUAGACUGGGAUUAUUAUUUUCUUUUAGAUAGCCUACCAUAGCCGGUUAUAGGUAGAAUAGAUAGACACCUCAUUUAAAUAUGAGUCAUUUUUGACAAUCAUAAAUUAGUUUAUAUGUGAACAUAAUAAACCUUUGCAUUGUCAUUUAUUUAUUUAUUUAUAUGCUAAUUAGCUAUAUUAAUUAGAUUUAUAUUAUCAAUAUUUCAAAGCAUUUAGUCAAGAUAUUUAAACAUAGAGGGAGGUGUAAAAUAUCAUCCUCCGGCGUGAUGGAGACACAAAUGCCAGGUGACCCGCCGGGCCCCUCAGUGGUGACGGAAGCCCCUGAGGGCCCCGGUGAGGUCAAACGCAGCAGCUCUGGUGUGAAGAAACAUCAUCACAAACACAACCUCAAGCAUCGCUACGAGCUGCUGGAGACCCUGGGGAGAGGAACCUAUGGCAAAGUCAAGAAGGCCAUCGAGCGCCAUUCUGGAAGAGAGGUUGCCAUCAAGUCUAUCAGGAAGGAGAAGAUUAAAGAUGAACAGGACAUGGUUCACAUUCGACGAGAAAUCGAGAUCAUGUCGUCUCUUCGCCACCCACAUAUCAUCUCAAUAUAUGAAGUGUUUGAAAAUAAGGACAAGAUAGUGAUUGUCAUGGAAUACGCCAGUAAGGGUGAACUCUAUGACUACAUCAGCGAACGCAGACGCCUGACUGAGAGAGAAACCCGACACUUCUUCAGGCAGAUUGUCUCUGCUGUGCACUUCUGCCAUAAGAAUGGUGUUGUUCACCGAGACCUGAAACUGGAAAAUGUUCUACUGGAUGAAAACUGUAACAUAAAGAUUGCUGAUUUUGGGUUGUCCAACCUGUAUCAUAAAGACAAGCUCCUCCAGACCUUUUGUGGUAGUCCACUGUACGCAUCCCCAGAGAUCGUCAACGGCAGACCAUACCGUGGUCCAGAGGUGGACAGCUGGGCUCUGGGGGUUUUGCUGUAUACGCUGGUCUAUGGCAGCAUGCCAUUCGAUGGAGGGGACCACAAAAAUCUCAUUUGGCAAAUCAGCAACGGAGAGUAUCGAGAACCAUCCCAGUCAUCAGAUGCUCGUGGUCUUAUCCGCUGGAUGCUGAUGGUCAACCCCGAGCGGCGGGCCACAGUGGAAGACAUCGCCAAUCACUGGUGGGUAAACUGGGGAUGGAAAACCAGUGUAUGUGACUGUGAAUCGCAAAGGGAUGCUGGCUCACCCAUGCUGGCUCGUCUCAUUGACUGGCAGAACCGGACCGAGCCUCGACCCGCUAAAGCCAUCCGGUCCGAGCCAUUCCUGCUUGUCCGUCAACGGCCCAAAAAGUCUAAGAAAGAGAAUGAUGACGGUGUGUCUCACUGUAAUGGAGAUGACAGCCUGGGCCUCAAGAGACCAAAGGGCAUCCUGAAGACAAGAACCUCUGAAGAGCAACACUCUCCAAGUCUGGAAGAAAUAGAAUCCAGUGUGGGAACCCCAGAGAAGGAAUCCGGGCCUGAAGAUGAAGGGGGCGAGGAGGAGCAGGGGCUAACAGGCAACUCUCCUACCAAAGCGGUCUCUAUCCUUCCGAAGAAGGGAAUUCUAAAAAACAACCAACAACGAGAAUCAGGGUACUAUUCUUCCCCAGAGCGCAGUGAGUCCUCUGACCUGCUAGGUUGCAACAUUACACCUCUUGCCGCCAGCUCACCACCAAAGCGAGCAGUUGGUAGGAAGGGCAUCUUGAAGCGCAACGGGAAGUAUUCUACAUACAGUGGCGCUCCUCCUUUGAGUGUCCUUGGGGAACCAGCACCUGGCGAUUCUGGUUUAUCCCGCAGUCAGAGUCGCCCAUCUAGUAUUGUAAGGGAGGAUAGGGACACCAUCACCAACAGUUCCUUCAGUGGCACUGACUGGCCCCCACCCGGUGCCCGCCCCAACAUCAGAGGCUGUGUGUCUGCAGAAAACCUUCUCCAGCUGGCCAACUUCAAAGGUCUCCAGGCAGCUCCUCCCCUACAUAGUGGGAAAUUCAGCCGAGGAACGCGGGGCUCUCCGGGGGAUAACAGCAGCUUCUCUCUACUAGGAGAUCUUGAUGAUAUGACUCAGGUGUACCAACAAGCCCUGGACAUCAGCAACAACCUGUCAUAGGGAUGGGGGCCAGUUGAGAGGGGCCUAGAAAGAAAGAAGGUGGAGCAAGUGGUAGAUGUUUGUUCGGCAUGUUGUUGACGACCAGUGCAAAACUGGGAUUCUAUGAAUGUGAGUCCUUUUUCAAUGGGAUGAUAUUGGAGGUUGUACACAACCAAACCUUAACUCCUGACCCUUAACCCUAAUCCUACCCUAUUUUACUUGACCUUUACCCAACCCAAUCUUAUACACAGUUAAAAUUAUAGUAUAUUAAUUAUAGGAACUACAGCCUAGGGGGAUUUAAGGGUUUGAAGUAAGUAAAAUUGAAGUUGGUACUCUGGGACAUUAUCCCCCUACAGGCAAGGAAUGAUAUUAAAUGUUUACAUAUUAAGUAUAAGGUGAGUUAGCAUCACAGUAUGGCAUCAUGUAACAGCAGCCUUGAUGAAACAAAAAUAAGAGCCAACCUGAGUUUAUCAAGCACCUUAAAACUCUCACGGAGCCGUUUGUGAUAUUUACUUCCAAAAAAAGAAACCAGGGUCUUGCUCCAAAUGAACUGUUGUUGUGUAUUAUUUAUUAAUAUAUAUUUUUGUAGAUUUAGUGAUACAAAACUGGUGUGGUCUGGCAGUACUGGAAGAAUAAGAAACUGAAAUCUCUCGUUGCCCUUGGUUGGAACUGACAUAUAUAAUUGUUAUUUUUCUUUCUUGGUUAUUUUAAUAUGACAUUUAAACUGCAUAUGUAAUGAUCAAACUCGUAUUGAUCCUAUGAGUCGAAGCAUAUAUAUUGAUUUAUAGAAGUGCCUUUUUGUUUGUUUGUUUUACAUUUUUUAAUUCAUAUUAAAUUAUGUAUGUCAUUUCCUUAAGGUGGAGAGAGAUGCCAGAGGAAGCUGUCAUCAGAUGAACAGCGUAUUAUUGUUUUUAUUUUAUUAUUAUUUUUUUUUUGUAUCGAAUGCUUAGAAGAGCCCCAGGAACUCUGAGCACAAAGCCUACCCUACAGAACUACCUGACUUCAAGGUUAAAUUUGCCCCACUUCUGCCGAGAGGCUAGUGCUUUACAGUGCAUUAUUCAAGAAGAAGAAUGGUCAGUCCAUGAACACCUUGAAAGGGAGUUUAUUUUCAGGACUCGCUGGGUAAUUCAAGGUGCCAGCAUGCUGGAUUGGUUGUUUCUGAUUGAGUCCUGACAGGAACAUGUGUGCAUGCACCAUGUGUUUCUCUAGAAUGGUGCUCUUGUGGUUUCUUGAUUGGGUUAGCUGACUGUUUAGAGUUCUGGACACCUUCACAUUAACAAGGUUUAACUCAAGGUAGAAAUGUCAGACACAAUCUCAGCUCCAAAGAAUGUUCAGGCCGAGACAAGCUUGUUUGACUAUUUCCAAAGGUUUUGGACUGUAGGAACAUUGUCUCUCCUGAUGUUUAUGUGUUGAUGCUUAGGGAUUGUAAUUGCUUAGCUUUAAGAAUAAUGGAUUAUUGGUUCUCUGUUGAACUUUGAUGCCCAAAUCACUCCCGUUAGAGCUAAAAAAACACCCCAAAAAAACAAGUAGACUAAUUUGUUUCAAAGCCGUGAUGAAGCAGCAAAUUCCAAAGGCUCUUUAGAGGCAUGUUUGGACUAGAUCUUGUGAGCUUGCCUCUGUCAUAGGUUUAAUGGGACAGAAGCUUUAUUGUUUCAGAAUCUUUAGUCCUUUCUUUGUUGUCUACUUGCAGAAUUUCAAGUGCAAUUUUAUUUUUUUAAGGCUGUUGUCUAAAUGUUUUUAGAAGGUAAGUGUGAAGUAGCUGUAGUAGAAAGAGAGGUAUUUACCAAGGUAUGUUCAUGAAAGCAUUUUAUGGAUGGAAGACACUUUUCCAGUAAGAGGGACACAUAGAAUUAUUCACUGGAAAGGAUGAUGUAGCUUUUUAUUUUGCUGCCUGUGAAGAAAGACUAGUGCAAGUGUAGAAAUAAUGAGAUGAAGAAAGUAGAUGAAAGGAUAAGGCAAGUAUUUUGUA